GCAGUCGACGAACUUCUUUAUCACCGAGUGCUUGCACUCACCGGUAAAGGGUUGAGUGGCGAACGGGUGAGUAACACGUGGGCAACCUGCCCAAAAGAGGGGGAUAACACUUGGAAACAGGUGCUAAUACCGCAUAACCAUAGUUACCGCAUGGUAGCUAUGUAAAAGGUGGCUAUGCUACCGCUUUUGGAUGGGCCCGCGGCGCAUUAGCUAGUUGGUGGGGUAAAGGCUUACCAAGGCAAUGAUGCGUAGCCGAACUGAGAGGUUGAUCGGCCACAUUGGGACUGAGACACGGCCCAAACUCCUACGGGAGGCAGCAGUAGGGAAUCUUCCACAAUGGGCGAAAGCCUGAUGGAGCAACGCCGCGUGGGUGAAGAAGGUCUUCGGAUCGUAAAACCCUGUUGUUAGAGAAGAAAGUGCGUGAGAGUAACUGUUCACGUUUCGACGGUAUCUAACCAGAAAGCCACGGCUAACUACGUGCCAGCAGCCGCGGUAAUACGUAGGUGGCAAGCGUUAUCCGGAUUUAUUGGGCGUAAAGGGAACGCAGGCGGUCUUUUAAGUCUGAUGUGAAAGCCUUCGGCUUAACCGGAGUAGUGCAUUGGAAACUGGGAGACUUGAGUGCAGAAGAGGAGAGUGGAACUCCAUGUGUAGCGGUGAAAUGCGUAGAUAUAUGGAAGAACACCAGUGGCGAAAGCGGCUCUCUGGUCUGUAACUGACGCUGAGGUUCGAAAGCGUGGGUAGCAAACA
rnacentral:rRNA from 1 species